rnacentral:rRNA from 1 species
AGAGUGAACGCUGGCGGUAGGCCUAACACAUGCAAGUCGAACGGCAGCACAGGAGAGCUUGCUCUCUGGGUGGCGAGUGGCGGACGGGUGAGGAAUACAUCGGAAUCUACCUUUUCGUGGGGGAUAACGUAGGGAAACUUACGCUAAUACCGCAUAAAGACCUUCGGGUGAAAGCCGGGGACCUUCGGGCCUGGCGCGGAUAGAUGAGCCGAUGUCGGAUUAGCUUGUUGGCGGGGUAAAAGCCACCAAGGCGACGAUCCGUAGCUGGUCU